UCACAACAGGACCAGCCGCCGGGGUUCCCACUGCACCUGUAAGAAAACGUCAACAAGUAACCAACUUCACACUCGGAACACCGCAUGGAUGCAAGUCCAAGAGAGAUGCAGAGGAGCCACAAUCCAAAGACUUGAACGUCACAGACUGUCUCUCUAUAGAGACCAGCAAUGGGAGACUUGAACGUCACAGACUGUCUCUCUACAGAGACCAGCAAUGGGAAACCCGGCUCAGGUGAAGACCCUUCGUCUUUAGUCUGCCUUUAUUAGGAAAUCUCAGAAUCAAUGAGGCAGCUGGCUAAGUUGCAAACUGGCUACCUACUGACAUCAGAUAACCGGCCAGUUCCCAAAGGGCCCCGGAUGCAGGGUACCAUAUAGACACCUGCUCAAACUGCUUCUGUCCUUGGUAUGGAUGUGACUGUCGCCUGUUUCUCUAACCAUGCUCAGGGUAAAAGCUAUAAUUUGUAGGUGGAAUAGUCAGUGGGGGAGUACUAUAUAUUUUAAAUAAGG
rnacentral:lncRNA from 1 species